UGAGGAAUAUUGGUCAAUGGGCGAGAGCCUGAACCAGCCAAGUAGCGUGCAGGACGACGGCCCUAUGGGUUGUAAACUGCUUUUAUAAGGGAAUAAAGUGGGUCACGUGUGACUUUUUGCAUGUACCUUAUGAAUAAGGACCGGCUAAUUCCGUGCCAGCAGCCGCGGUAAUACGGAAGGUCCGGGCGUUAUCCGGAUUUAUUGGGUUUAAAGGGAGCGUAGGCCGGAGAUUAAGCGUGUUGUGAAAUGUAGUGGCUCAACCUCUGCACUGCAGCGCGAACGUGGGGUCUU
rnacentral:rRNA from 1 species